UGCCCUAGUAACGGCGAGUGAAGCGGCAACAGCUCAAAUUUGAAAUCUGGCGUCUUUGGCGUCCGAGUUGUAAUUUGCAGAGGGCGCUUUGGCAUUGGCAGCGGUCCAAGUUCCUUGGAACAGGACGUCACAGAGGGUGAGAAUCCCGUACGUGGUCGCUAGCCUUUACCGUGUAAAGCCCCUUCGACGAGUCGAGUUGUUUGGGAAUGCAGCUCUAAAUGGGAGGUAAAUUUCUUCUAAAGCUAAAUACUGGCCAGAGACCGAUAGCGCACAAGUAGAGUGAUCGAAAGAUGAAAAGCACUUUGGAAAGAGAGUUAAAAAGCACGUGAAAUUGUUGAAAGGGAAGCGCUUGCAGCCAGACUUGCCUGUAGUUGCUCAUCCGGGUUUCUACCCGGUGCACUCUUCUAUAGGCAGGCCAGCAUCAGUUUGGGCGGUUGGAUAAAGGUCUCUGUCAUGUACCUCCUUUCGGGGAGAACUUAUAGGGGAGACGACAUGCAACCAGCCUGGACUGAGGUCCGCGCAUCUGCUAGGAUGCUGGCGUAAUGGCUGUAAGCGGCCCGUCUUGAAACACGGACCAAGGAGUCUAACAUCUAUGCGAGUGUUUGGGUGUCAAGCCCGAGCGCGUAAUGAAAGUGAACGGAGGUGGGAACCUUUCGGGGUGCACCAUCGACCGAUCCUGAUGUCUUCGGAUGGAUUUGAGUAAGAGCAUAGCUGUUGGGACCCGAAAGAUGGUGAACUAUGCUUGAAUAGGGUGAAGCCAGAGGAAACUCUGGUGGAGGCUCGCAGCGGUUCUGACGUGCAAAUCGAUCGUCAAAUUUGGGCAUAGGGGCGAAAGACUAAUCGAAUAUCUAGUAGCUGGUUCCUGCCGAAGUUUCCCCUUCAGGAA
rnacentral:rRNA from 2 species